GACGAACGCUGGCGGCGUGCUUAUCACAUGCAAGUCGAACGGAAAGGCCUGCUUUCCCUUGUGGAUUGCGGGUACUCGAGUGGCGAACGGGUGAGUAACACGUGAGUGAUCUGCCCCCAACUUGGGUAUAAGCCUGGGAAACUGGGUCUAAUUCCCGAUAGGACUGCAGGGUGGUGCCUGUGGUGGAAAACGAUUUUCUAGUGGUUGGGGAUGAGCUCGCGGCCUAUCAGCUUGUUGGUGGGGUAAUGGCCUACCAAGGCGGCGACGGGUAGCCGGCCUGAGAGGGUGGACGGCCACAUUGGGACUGAGAUACGGCCCAGACUCCUACGGGAGGCAGCAGUGGGGAAUAUUGCACAAUGGGCGGAAGCCUGAUGCAGCGACGCCGCGUGGGGGAUGACGGCCUUCGGGUUGUAAACUCCUUUCGACCGCGAGGAAGCCACCUGGUUGGAAGGGUGGUGACGGUAGUGGUAGAAGAAGCACCGGCUAACUGCGUG
rnacentral:rRNA from 1 species